CCAAGGAGUCUAACAUGUGUGCGAGUCGCCGGGUCUUGACCAGGCUCGGAGGCGAAAUGAAAGUGAAGGCCGAUCUGGGCGUCGGCUGCGGUGUGAUCCGCACGGUCGUCCGAAACUCCCGCGUCCUUCGCCCUCGGGCGUCGGCUCGCGGGGCCGGCGGCGCAACACCGGCCCGUCCCGUCCGCAGCGUCGGUGGGGCGGAGCGAGAGCAUACACGUUGGGACCCGAAAGAUGGUGAACUAUGCUUGGGCAGGACGAAGCCAGAGGAAACUCUGGUGGAGGUCCGCAGCGAUUCUGACGUGCAAAUCGAUCGUCAGACCUGAGUAUAGGGGCGAAAGACUAAUCGAACCAUCUAGUAGCUGGUUCCCUCCGAAGUUUCCCUCAGGAUAGCUGGCGCUCGAGGGAAGCAGUCUCAUCCGGUAAAGCGAAUGAUUAGAGGCCUUGGGGCCGAAACGACCUCAACCUAUUCUCAAACUUUCAAUGGGUGAGAAGUCCGGCUUGCUCGACUGAGCCCGGACGACCCAGGAUGCGAGUGCCCAGUGGGCCACUUUUGGUAAGCAGAACUGGCGCUGUGGGAUGAACCAAACGCCGGGUUAAGGCGCCCGAUGCGAGACGCUCAUCAGAUCCCAUGAAAGGUGUUGGUUGCUAUAGACAGCAGGACGGUGGCCAUGGAAGUCGGAAUCCGCUAAGGAGUGUGUAACAACUCACCUGCCGAAGCAACUAGCCCUGAAAAUGGAUGGCGCUGUAGCGUCGAGCCCAUACCCGGCCGCCCCGGCUGUGCGCGGAAGCUUGGGCCGGGGCGAGUAGGAGGUGUCGCAGCGGCGCGCGUUGAAGGUGCCGGGCGCGGGCCCGCCUGGAGCCGCCGCUGGUGCAGAUCUUGGUGGUAGUAGCAAAUACUCAAGUGAGAACCUUGAGGACUGACGUGGAGAAGGGUUCCAUGUGAACAGCAGUUGAACAUGGGUCAGUCGGUCCUAAGGGAUAGGAGAAAUCCGUUCCGAAGCGGGACCUGAAAAUGUGCUCUUUUUGUUGGGUCCCGUGGUGGACCGAAAGGGAAUCGGGUUAAUAUUCCCGAACCCGGAUGCGGAGAUCGGCCCUUCGGGGUCAACUGCGGUAACGCAACCAAACUCGGAGACGUCGAUCGGAGUCCCGGGAAGAGUUGUCUUUUCUUUGUAAGGGAUCGGCUCCCUGGAAUCGGCUCGCCCGGAGAUAGGGAUGCUGUUCCCGUAAAGCACCGCGGCUCUUGCGGUGUCCGGAGCGCUCCGGUCGGCCCUUUAAAAUCCGAGGGAGAGUGUGAUUUUCGUGCCGGACCGUACCCAUAUCCGCAGCAGGUCUCAAAGGUGAAAGCCUCUAGUCGAUGGAACA
rnacentral:rRNA from 1 species